UAAGUAAAUAUCGGUUGAAGUCCGGUUUUGUUUUGAUUUGAUUGAAUAGCAUUGUUUUCAUUGCGCAUUUUCUGAAAUUUAGGGCACUUAGGAAAAAACUUGUGAUUUUUUUGCUGUUAUUAGUGUUUUCCCAUGAAUAUCAACGAUGGCGACUUCAAAGACCUUCGCUGCAAACUGGACAUCAUGGGUUUCACACAGACGCUGCCCGUCUUGGCCAUUCCACUGGUUCAGGCUGUUUUCGGGGACUUAAUCAAGACCACGGAAUGUUUGAGGGAUACGAAGAAAAAGGUGGCCGAGCUGCUGGAGGAAAAGACCUGUUGGGAGCUGGGUGUCGAACCAUACAAGUGUGACAACUCUCGCCUGCUGGCCGAGUGCAAUGAACUGCAUCUCCAGUUCUUGAGGGACAGGGAGGACUACGAGCUGCGCCUGUGUGAGUCCGAGCGCAAGAUCCGAAAUCUGGAGUUGGAUAAGCAGCACUUGCAGAGCCACAACGAUGGGCUACAAAGCCAACUGGACGCUUUGCUCACCAAGCAAAUGGUUUCAUCGGUCACGAACAAAAAGCCGUCAGCUGGCAUUGGACGCCUGAGCAAAAAACCAUUUAUAACCACAGUUCGUUCGGGCAUUGUGCUGCCAACUACACUGGGCACCAACAGCAGUGCUCUUAAAUGCACAAAAUGCAAUGCUGGGGUAUUCCAGAAGACCACCACAACGACCAAAGACGGUGUGACAGUCACGCAAACCAGUGGCCAGGAGGAGCUAGACAAGAUGCAGAACGAACUUACGGCAGCCGGAGAACAACUGGAGUUCUUCAAGCGCAAAGUGGAGGCCAGAAAUCGAGAGAUUCGCCGCUUAAACGACAUGCUAGCAGGAGGACGUCCUCUAGGAGCUUUGGCCAAGGAUUGCUGUUACAAGGACGUGGGCGCCCUCUCCCAGGACAUCGAUCUGUUGCAACGCGAGAAGAGCGAUUUAAUGAUGCAAGUUCGAGAAUUCCAGGACAAGAUGCACGAUGCCAUGCAGCGGGCUCUAAGCUCCGAGGAGGACAAAAUGAAGCUCCAAACGCAGCUGGAGGAGCUCAAGGAAGCUGCUUUGCAAGUGGAACAGCAGGCCAAUGCGGAGAUCGAUGCCAAGGAAUUGGAACUUAGGCAACUGCAGUUGGAGCUUAAGAAGAAGGGAAAGGAUCACCGACUGGCCGGUGGCUUUGCUUCCAACCAAAGUGACAAGCAUAAUCUUAAUGAACGCUUGAAUCUUUUGACUCGUCGUGAAGAGGAACUACAGGCCACAAAUGAAAAGCAUAAGAAGAAAAUUCAAAAAAUGCAAGCAAAGAUAAUAGAGCUGCAGAAGGAGCUCAAAGAUCAGAAUAAGCAUUCCAACGUCACCCUGGAUGAAGAGAAAAUACGCCUCUCAUCAGAGCGGGACUUCUUCCAGAAGGAAUACCUGCGUCUGAUGAGCAAGUCCGGUUCCGAGUCGGAGAUCGCCUUCUUGCAUGCCCAAAUUACAUCAAAGGACGAGGAGUUAAAGGCCCUGCGAUCUGAACUGUUUCAUGGAGGAAAGCAUCAAUUUUCCCCAACAAAAAGUGUGCAGUAUGAGACAAUGCCGCCCCCCACAGCUUCAUCUGUUACCUCCACCGUAACUAGCAAUAGGAGUGACUGCGUCCAGGCGGCCAUUGCAAGGGUGGAGCGGGAGCGGGAUUGCGCCAGGUCCGAGCUUGAAAGGGUUCGUUGCGAGCGGGAUACCCUGAGGGAGAAGCAACUGAGCACUGUUCAACUUCAUGCCGAUGAGCUGCAGGCGCUGCGCCUGCGAAACGAAGAGCUCAACGACCGUCUGCGGCAAAUGGAACGCGAUAAUCGGGAACUUAACUCGGCUCGUCUGCCAUCUGAAACGAAUCUGGCGCUGCUUAAGGAGGACUUGGUGCAGAUGAGGCAGCGUGUGGCAUCCAUGCAAACCGAAAUUGACCAACUAAAGGACGAAAAUGGUCAAAUCACCAUGCUUAACGAUCAAAACGAGCGCAUCAUAGCGGAGUAUCAGAGUAAACUUUUGGUGGCCGAGCAUCAACGACAGUCGGCGGAUGUUCGGGCCAGCACCUUAGAUUCCAGCCGGGAAUCCAAUCGCAGCGAGGUUACCCAACUUCGCAUGGACAUAGGAGCUCUGCGGCAGACUUACAUAUCGCUAGAACACGAGAAGGAUACGCUUCUGCAUCAAUUGGAUACCAAAACUGAGCGGGCAUACAAACUGGAGUAUGAGCUAAAGGAUUGCAAAGAAAAGCGGAAUACCCUAGAGCAGAAUGUGAAGGACCUGGAGGAUCAAUUGCGAAAACUGGCCAACAGGAACCGGCAGCGCGACUCAGAACUGACGGAGACCUCGACGGAAAGUAAAACGCUGCGCCAGCAGAUUGUGGCACUCAAAGCCAGUCGCGAUGAGGCAAUAGCAGAGAAUUGCCGGCUGAGGGACAAAUUGAGCGAUGCCCAAGUGGAGGCCAGGACGUUGCAAAAGAAGCUGACGGACUCCGAGCUUCAGGUGUCCAACAUGAAGCAGCAGCUGCACAAGUACGUCCAGGAGGUGAAGAAGGCCGAGGAUUUGCUCAUCCAGAAGGAAAAGGAGCGCGAUGAUAUGCUGGAUCAGUACCACUGUCUAACCCAGGGCCACGCUACCCUGGAGGGUAACAACCAAAGUCUGGAGUGCGAGGCGGUUGAGUUCAGACGACAAAUCUGUGAGCUGGAGUGCGAGGUGCACAGCCUGAAGGAACAGCUGCAGCAUCGCCAGUGCGCUCUUCAUGAUAUGGAAAUGCAGUUGACCGCCGCCCAGGCCUCUGUGCGUUGUCUGGAAAGGGAGCUGCAGAAUGCCCGAGAUGACAUCCGUGUCCAGAAGGUGGAUCUGGAGGCGCGCAAGGAGCUGUGUGAUAAGCUCGAUGUGGAAAGAAGCAAACUCAAUGCGGAGCUGAAUGAAGUGAAUGAAAAUCGCAAAAAGGUGAGCUUCAGCUCCGGUCCGGAUCACUUUCCGUAUCUGUAUCCUAGUUAGAACACUCUGCUGUAGUCUACCUCGCUUUCUAACCAAACUCUAACUAUAUAGAUGUAACAAACUAAAUUGCGCUUUCUUGAAAAACAAUGCGAAAAACUGCGGGAUGAGCUUCAGCAGAGCUUGGCCAUUAAUCAGGUCACCACCAAAACCACUGAUCUCAUGCUCGG
rnacentral:misc_RNA from 1 species